GACAAACUCAGGCAAUUCAUUCUGCUGAUUACCUCCAGCAGAAAGGAGAAAGUAGGCAACUGGCAUCUGUUAUGCUAACACAGCUGUUUCCACAGGUUGAGCUGAAAACUUACACUAGUUGGGGGAUUUCUCAUUCAGGUCAUGCACCUUGAGUGGACAACAAACACUUCAGAAAGGGGAAUAAUGGUGGAGAAGCACAAAUAACCAAUGGUGAAUAAGGAACACCCUUGUUCACACACAAAUGCCCUUGUUUGCACAUGAAUAUGGGUUUUUGUAUGAAAAAGACCCAUUCUCCAAACAUCCAUGUGAAGAGAAACCCAUUCAGCAUGAAUGUUUGUGAACACUGAAUAACAAGUGGAUGAACAAGCCUGAAUCAAACAGCCGUUCAGACUUUGAACCAAUGUUCGCAAACACUGGUUUGCAUUAUUCACCCAGUCCUGUGAACAGCCAUCUGUUCAAUAACUGAUAAUGGACAUGGAAGUUGGGUUGUUGGGUAGAUAUGGCUCAUCAGGGAGACAAUAGCUAUCUAUUUGCAGGAUUUCUACUUAGUCCGUUGCAGGCGUAGCCUCUGUUCCUGUUGACCUGUGAUAUCGUGUUUUUCUUGUACUGUCAACAUUAGGUUUUGCUUAAUAUAUAAUUUGAAAUAAAGUUGUGUAUACACAUAUACAGACACGAACACACCUACACACGUAUAUAUUUACAGUUGCUGUUUUUUAUGUAGUAUCUAAAACAUAAGUUAAUGAGGUAUAUGAAUAUUUUUUUUUCUAACUUAAGUGCUUAGCACAUGUUUAAGACCUAGAGUUGCAAAGAUAAAUACCUGUGUGGUUGAAAAUCUGCUUUAGGUGUCUUCCAGAUUUAAAACCAAAUGGAUUAACAUUUUGCAGAACUACACCCAUCUGUGUAUGUUAGAAAAUAACCUUCACUUUUCUCAGGAUUGUAUAACUUUAAUAACAAAAUCAGUAUUUUUCAUAUAUCAGGACAGACCUUGAGAGAAAAAUUUUUACAUCCUGUUUCUCAACAAAAUCCUCCCCACUAUCAGACACCAUUCCUCUUCAAAAGAUGAUAACUAUGUUUCAUUUAAAAAAAAAUGAUUUUAUAUGAAAAUAAUUAAAAACGGUAACGUGACUCUAUCUUCUGGUGCGGUAUAUUUACUCCAGGUAUUUCAAUGAGUAAUGAGCCUGUUUAAAUCUAUAGGGAAGUUAUAACUGCUUUUGUUCUUCCUAUGACAGGUUGGUAGCUAUAUUUCUAUGCAACUGAUUUAGUAUAAUUUGUCUUAAAGUCUGAAAUCUUUCCAAGUGCUUCUAUUGCUUUUCUAACCCCUAAAUGAAAUAUUUCUUUGGGGUUAGAAAGCAUCAAAAUAAUGUCUGUGUAAAGUGCCAAUUUAUAUUUUUGAUUUCUGAUCUCCACUUCCUGCAGUAACUGUAUCCUUUAUCAUUCUUGGGAGCAGUUAGUUCCACUGUCAGGGCAAGUACCAAAAGUAAAGAAAAUCUCACAUCUCUAUUCAUCAAAUACAUUUCCAAUGAGUACAAAGUAUUCUUUUACUAUGUUUUAUCACUUGUUUAAAAUGUUAAAUAAUAUUCCUUCUUUUUGCUUUA